GCCGGAGUGGUGAAACUGGUAGACGCAGCGGACUCAAAAUCCGCCGGGGGCAACCCCGUGUCGGUUCGAUUCCGACCUCCGGCACCA
rnacentral:tRNA from 3 species